rnacentral:rRNA from 1 species
UACGUAGGGUGCGAGCGUUGUCCGGAAUUAUUGGGCGUAAGAGCUCGUAGGCGGUCUGUCGCGUCGAUCGUGAAAACUCGGGCUCAACCCCGAGCCUGCAGUCGAUACGGGCAGACUAGAGUGCGGUAGGGGAGACUGGAAUUCCUGGUGUAGCGGUGAAAUGCGCAGAUAUCAGGAGGAACACCGGUGGCGAAGGCGGGUCUCUGGGCCGUAACUGACGCUGGAGGAGCGAAAGCGUGGGGAGCGAACAGG